GUUUGGAACUGCCUUCUUUACUGCUCGAGAGGGAAAACUUGAGUGAAAACCAGGAUGCUGGCGAAUGUUGAGUAGCUAAGCUGCACAGGAAAUACCACUUGAUGACCUGCGAUCUGGGGAAGCCGCGCCAGGGCUCUGCGAAGCUGCGGACGAGGGAGGCGUCAGUGUGGGGGCUGCAGCUCAGCUCCGGGGGGGACGCGCCUUUCUCCACGGGACCUGGGGCUCAGGUGCUCACGAGGCUGGGGCGCUGCAGGCCACCCGCAGGGGAAACUGAGGCCCUCCAUUUUGUGGGGCUGGAAGACCUUUCCUUCCAAAAGCAGGUGUAGGCGGGAGCACCUGUGCAGUCCCUCUGUUCAGAUCCUCACCCACUUUUAAAUCAGGAAACAGCAGAUGAAAUGCACAGUGUGAAGGACAAGGAUUCUGCUGAGAGAAUUGCUCCGAGGGUUGCUCAAGUGAUCAUGGGAAAUAAUGCAUCAAACCAUUCUUUAGAUGCAGCUCAGGUGUGCCUUUUC
rnacentral:lncRNA from 1 species